UAAGUCUGCUGUUAAAUCCUGUAGCUCAACCUGAUAAGGGCAGUGGAAACUGUCAAACUAGAGUGUGGUAGGGGCAGAAGGAAUUCCCGGUGUAGCGGUGAAAUGCGUAGAUAUCAGGAAGAACACCGGUGGCGAAGGCGCUCUCCUGGGCCAUAACUGACACUGAGGGACGAAAGCUAGGGGAGCGAACGGGAUUAGAUACCCCAGUAGUCCUAGCCGUAAACGAUG
rnacentral:rRNA from 1 species